UACGUAGGGUGCAAGCGUUAAUCGGAAUUACUGGGCGUAAAGCGUGCGCAGGCGGUUUUGUAAGUCUGUCGUGAAAUCCCCGGGCUCAACCUGGGAACUGCAUCUGUGACUGCAUAGCUAGAGUACGGUAGAGGGGGAUGGAAUUCCGCGUGUAGCAGUGAAAUGCGUAGAUAUGCGGAGGAACACCGAUGGCGAAGGCAAUCCCCUGGACCUGUACUGACGCUCAUGCACGAAAGCGUGGGGAGCAAACAGGAUUAG
rnacentral:rRNA from 1 species